rnacentral:rRNA from 1 species
AGAACGAACGCUUGCGACGUGCCUAAGAAAUGCAAGUCGAACGGACCAGCAGCAAUGCUGGUUAGUGGCGAACGGUCGCGUAACACGUGGGCAACCUGCCCUGAAGCGGGGGACAACAACUCGAAAGAGUUGCUAAUACCGCAUGUGUAUCGCUGUGGCAUCACAGAGGAUACAAAGCCGCAAGGCACUUCAGGAUGGGCCCGCGGCCUAUCAGCUAGUUGGUGAGGUAACGGCUCACCAAGGCUUCGACGGGUAGCUGGUCUGAGAGGACGAUCAGCCGGAUUGGGACUGAGAUACGGCCCAGACUCCUACGGGGGGCAGCAAUUAGGAAUCUUGCACAAUGGGCGAAAGCCUGAUGCAGCGACGUCGCGUGAAGGAUGAAAUCUUUCGGGAUGUAAACUUCUUUACCAGGGAAGAAAUAAUGACGGUACCUGGUGAAUAAGCCCCGGCUAACUACGUGCCAGCAGCCGCGGU